UUGAACAGGUCAAUGCUGCUCAAAACCUUUUAAAAGAAAACACAAUGCAAGCGUUACACCUCCGGUCGCGGCAUUAUGAAUGCAAUUCGAUCUAGCUUGAUGCCCUGAUCUGGUCCAUGGUAUCUAUACGGUAAGAUUUUGACCAUAGACCUGACAAUUAAUUUUUGUCAGUUAUGCCUGUUCGCUUAUUCGAAGAAAAUGCGCUUUAGAGGUUUUUUAAUCCACUCAUUGUCGUCUUUAGAUUUUCUGCGUGACUGAAACCCGUCACUUCAAUGUUUUCAACCUGUUAUUUGUUGUCAUAAUUUAAACGUAAGCGAAUUGCGUGAACCGAGGGCUCGGACAUGAACAAAAUAAAAGCCCAAGUAAAAAAUGGCUUACGAGGAGAAAGUUUUGGUAAAUUCCUCCAUAAUAAAUCAUAUACAUGCUCCCAUUGUUAAAACGUAGAAGCACUAAUGCAAAGGUUUAGCUAGUUAGAGAUCAACAUGUAGAUAUUUUUGAGAAUGAAAUCAGUGCCCGCGUUGAAUCAUUUGUCUCCAGAGCUUCUCCAGGGCCUCCUUUCCUUCGCGCCAAGGCCCCGCGGGCUAAGAAAGACAGGCGGCCCUGGGACUCAACUUGAAUUUGCAUUGCAAGUAAUUUUUCGCUCCUUCUUCCCACGAGGUGCUUGGAAGUUCGGCUUUUUCUUUCAAACUUUGCCUAGUGCCUAGUCUAUAUUGCAAGAAAUGUUCCCAAACUUGUGCAAGACACAAACCUUUGCUGGUGGAACAAACACUAGAGGGAAAUUCGCUCAAUUCAAGAGCCAGAAACAGCAAGCGACAUCAAGAUGUUGUCUCACAGCAUCCUCGCUGAUAUAAGCAAGCACCCCUCCCCAGGAGUUAACAAGCUUCCAAGCUGCAUUUAUCAGAAGUCAAAUUUGUAACGAUGAAACAGAAGCUGAUAAUGUGGAGUAUGCAGUGGUUACGUAUCCACUCUGACAGUAAACAUUAUACAAAGCACAUUGACAUAAAGUGGCAGGCCGUCUGGAGUACUGAAAGAGGAAUGAUGGAAGUCAGAGAAAGCUAUUAAAAGAUAAUCAGGCAAACAAGAAGCAAACAACAGCAUACUGGACAACUAAGAUGAAUGGAGGAGACAGAUACAGCUAGAUCAGG